GAUGAACGCUGGCGGCGUGCCUAAUACAUGCAAGUCGAGCGAACGGACGAGAAGCUUGCUUNUNUGAUGUUAGCGGCGGACGGGUGAGUAACACGUGGAUAACCUACCUAUAAGACUGGGAUAACUUCGGGAAACCGGAGCUAAUACCGGAUAAUAUUUUGAACCGCAUGGUUCAAAAGUGAAAGACGGUCUUGCUGUCACUUAUAGAUGGAUCCGCGCUGCAUUAGCUAGUUGGUAAGGUAACGGCUUACCAAGGCAACGAUGCAUAGCCGACCUGAGAGGGUGAUCGGCCACACUGGAACUGAGACACGGUCCAGACUCCUACGGGAGGCAGCAGUAGGGAAUCUUCCGCAAUGGGCGAAAGCCUGACGGAGCAAACGCCGCGUGAGUGAUGAAGGUCUUCGGAUCGUAAAACCUAAUGUNAUUAGGGAAGAACCAUAUGUGUAAGUAAACUGUGCACAUCU
rnacentral:rRNA from 1 species